GACGAACGCUGGCGGCGUGCCUAAUACAUGCAAGUCGAACGCUAAAGGAGUAGCUUUCUGCGCUGGAUGAGUUGCGAACGGGUGAGUAACGCGUAGGUAACCUGCCUUUUAGCGUGGGAUAACUAUUGGAAACUAGAGCUAAUACCGCAUAAGAGUAGAUGUUGCAUGACAUUGGCUGAAAAGUUUCAAUUGCAUCGCUACCAGAUGGGCCUUCGUUGUAUUAGCUAGUUGUUGUGGUAACGGCUUACCAAGGCGACGAUACAUAGCGGACCGGAGAGGGGGAUCGGCCAGCCUGGGACGGAGACACGGCCCAGAGUCCUACGGGAGGCAGCAGUAGGGAAUCUUCGGCAAGGGACGGAAGUCUGAGCGAGAAACGCGGAGUGAGUGAGGAGGGAUUUCGGAUCGUAAAGCUCGGUUGUCAGAGAAGAAAGCGCGUGAGAGUGGAAAGUUCACACUGUGACGGUAACUGACCAGAAAGGGACGGCUAACUACGUG
rnacentral:rRNA from 1 species